CAAGUCAAGCGGCAAUUCAAACGUAAUACUUACCUAUAGCGGCGCACGGCCUGCGAUACGCGUAUGCAACCCUACCUUUUACUGGGGGAUAGCCCGGAGAAAAUCUGGAUUAAUACCCCCUGGCACCUAGAGGACGAAUGAUUUUUAGUUUAAAGAAUUUAUCGGUAAGAGAUGGGCAUGCGUCUGAUUACCUAGUUGGCGGGGUAACGGCCCCCCAAGGCGACAAUCAGUAGGGGUUCUUGAAAAGAAGGUCCCCCCCCCUGGCAC
rnacentral:rRNA from 1 species